CCCUAUUAAGGAUAAGAUAACUCUUAGUAGUAAGUGAAAAUCAUGAAACUAAAAUUAAUUGGCGGCAUUCAAAUUUUUUUAGAGGAAUUUAUUCUAUAAAGGAUAUAACACCAAAAUCUUACUUUUAUUUGAAAUUAACAGUCUGCCUAUCUCUAUUAUUUUGGAUAUAGAGAUAUAUUUAAAUAAUUCUAAGUAAUUUAGAAAAUUUUUAGGUAAAAAUGCAGCUAAUAUAAAAGAUUGAAAUAAAUUAUAUUAAUAUUAAUUUACGAUUAAUUAAAUGUAUUUUUAAUUUAAAAGAAAAAUUUAACAGUAAAAUUUAAUUAUUAUUUAAAUUUGAAUUUUUUUUUAAUGUGUACAUAUCGCCCGUCACUCUCUUUUAGAGAUAAGU
rnacentral:rRNA from 1 species